GGCUGCAGUAUUCCCUCCCUGUAGCCUGAUUUCCUCAGAUUCAGGAGCUAAGCAGGGCUGGGUCUUGUCAGUACUGGAAUGGGAGGUCUCGGAGGAAAACCAGGUUGCUGCUAUAA
rnacentral:rRNA from 1 species